GUGGGGAAUAUUGGACAAUGGGCGCAAGCCUGAUCCAGCAAUGCCGCGUGGGUGAAGAAGGUCUUCGGAUCGUAAAGCCCUUUCGACAGGGACGAUGAUGACGGUACCUGUAGAAGAAGCCCCGGCUAACUUCGUGCCAGCAGCCGCGGUAAUACGAAGGGGGCUAGCGUUACUCGGACUUACUGGGCGUAAAGGGCGCGUAGGCGGCUCUGUUAGUCAGGCGUGGAAUUCCUGGGCUUAACCUGGGGACUGCGCUUGAUACGGCAGGGCUUGAGGCGGAGAGAGGGUGGUGGAAUUCCCAGUGUAGAGGUGAAAUUCGUAGAUAUUGGGAAGAACACCGGUGGCGAAGGCGACCACCUGGCUCGGUUCUGACGCUGAGGCGCGACAGCGUGGGGAGCAAACAGGAUUAGAAACCCCGGUAGUCC
rnacentral:rRNA from 1 species